GAAGUUUUAGUUAAAUUAUAACAUUAUCUUGUCAAGAUAAAAUUAUUUUAUAUUAAAUAUACUUCU
rnacentral:tRNA from 1 species